ensembl:lncRNA
GCACCUGGCUUGGGCGUUACCCUUGAAUCUUUCAGCUGUCCUCUGAUACCAGCCACGAGACUCACCUCCUCCUGGCAGCCUACCAGAAUCUCAGAAGCGGCAGCCUCGUCAAAAAACACGCAAGCCUCAGGAUAUACCACCAUGAAGCAAUUUAGAGAAACUCUCAACACAGAAUUUUUUAGGGCAUGACGGUCUUGAUGAAGCGUUUGAACAUCUCCGUGUCCCACAGGAAGAAAGAACAAUUUCCAGGCUGUGCUGGGACAGAGGAUGGGGAGCGUCUGACCAUUUUUCUGAAGGAAACAAUUCUGUUGAUUGGAACAGGAUUUUGCAAAUGACUACUUCGUUUUUCAGAGGUUGCAGCUUUUAAAAAUCUCCUAACAUCAGUUUUACAUUUAUCCUUGUUGUGGCUGCUUUUUUUAAGUGGAACUAAUAAUCAAGCCUUUUUAGGGCAAGUUUAUUGUUCUGGGUACAAGUGUCCUGCAUCCAACCCCACACAGCUACCUUCCCACUAUUAGGUGGGAAGAAAAGCUUUCGGGUCCUUUCAUUAUUCCUCCUUUGUCCUAAAGCCAGUGGUGUGUUUUUGAUUUUCAGAGAGAAAGGAGAGUGUGUUUAUGGUUUGUCUUUAUUUUUAGACCCUUCAAUUCUUCCUCUCACAGUGUAUAUUGU